rfam:Deltaproteobacteria bacterium RIFOXYD12_FTLL_56_24 rifoxyd3_full_scaffold_176, whole genome shotgun sequence.
UCGUGGGUGACUGCGAAUCUGGAGGAAGCCGAAGGCAAAGCGCUGGCCUGACGAACAGGAAACGGAUAUGAGGCGGCACGUUGGGGUAAGAAGGCGGCUAAUAUCGUCAAAUUACCAGCCCCAGAGCAGGUCUCGGC